rnacentral:rRNA from 1 species
CCAGAGAACUUAGCAGAGAUGCUUUGGUGCCUUCGGGAACUCGUGAGACAGGUGCUGCAUGGCUGUCGUCAGCUCGUGUUGUGAAAUGUUGGGUUAAGUCCCGCAACGAGCGCAACCCUUAUCCUUUGUUGCCAGCGGCUCGGCCGGGAACUCAAAGGAGACUGCCGGCGAUAAACCGGAGGAAGGUGGGGAUGACGUCAAGUCAUCAUGGCCCUUACGGCCAGGGCUACACACGUGCUACAAUGGCGCAUACAAAGAGAAGCGACCUCGCGAGAGCAAGCGGACCUCACAAAGUGCGUCGUAGUCCGGAUUGGAGUCUGCAACUCGACUCCAUGAAGUCGGAAUCGCUAGUAAUCGUAGAUCAGAAUGCUACGGUGAAUACGUUCCCGGGCCUUGUACACACCGCCCGUCACACCAUGGGAGUGGGUUGCAAAAGAAGUAGGUAGCUUAACCUUCGGGAGGGCGCUUACCACUUUGUGAUUCAUGACUGGGGUGAAGUCGUAACAAGGUAAGCGUAGCGAG